GAUCAUGGCUCAGGAUGAACGCUAGCUACAGGCUUAACACAUGCAAGUCGAGGGGCAGCAUCAUCAAAGCUUGCUUUGAUGGAUGGCGACCGGCGCACUGGUGAGUAACACGUAUCCAACCUGCCGACAACACUGGGAUAGCCUUUCGAAAAAAAGAUUAAUACCGGAUGGCAUAAUUUUCCCGCAUGGGAUAAUUAUUAAAGAAUUUCGGUUGUCGAUGGGGAUGCGUUCCAUUAGG
rnacentral:rRNA from 1 species